CACAUGCACAGAUGAUUUCUAGAAUCCUGGACCACACAUUUGAGCCCAUGAACUACACAAAGUGAAGGUUAUUCCAGCAGUCUGCGCAAGGCGACAGCUGUGCUCCAGUCCGCGUCUCUAAAAGAUCUUGUGGCCAGAAUCCAUUAUCGAUUGAUCCCUCACACAGAGUAUGGAAGCAGACUACAAAACAACUCUUCCAGUAAAAGGCCUCUUUUUUCGUGUGUUCAUUAAAGUAAAUCACUUUGUAGCUCUGUAGACCCACACUACUGGCCUCUAUGGAGUAAAUAAAAACACAUCUGAGACA